rnacentral:misc_RNA from 1 species
AAAAAAAAAAAAAAAAAAAGAAAUUAAACAAUAUGAUCUGUGCGAAAUUUUCAUUGGAGAUGCAUCUUUGAUAAUUUAUUAUUAAAUUUUCUGAAAAUAUGAACGAUCUCAAAAUGGGAUAUUAUUGUUAUAGCAUGACUGAGCAAUGCAAUACGAUGGUUUUCGUCUUUUGAAAUUUUUCGGUAGUUGAAUAUUAGCAAUUCUGAGCCUUUCCCUUGACUUGGUUUUACUUAUUUUGUUGGUUGCUCUGACAAUGUUGUUUGUUGGUCCUUUUCUGAAUUUUAGUUUAGUUCCCUCCCAUGGCUUGGCUGUGCUAAAAUUGUCAAUAAAAGGAUUUCGUAAGCUUUAUUUCGGAUGUAUUUUUGUAGUUAGGUUGUGUUAUAGCCUUAAAACUAAUGACCGGGCGGUGGAACUAACAAAAAGACUUGGGGUGUUGUAUUGCUGUUGUGGUGUGUUCAUAUUUUUGUGGUGGGAAUAUCAUAUUGCCCUUUGAAGUGAACUUGCUUUACUUGUGGAGGAAGGCUACGAGCAAACAUCUAUUAAUCAAAUUUGUGUACGGCAAUGAUCCUUGAUUUGAAGACCAAGAGUUAUCUCUAAUGUAUUACUCUUCUUGUUGGUCUUUUACAAAAAUUAGAAAUCUAAUUCUUGCGGUAACUUGGUGUUUUGGUUCUUCUCCUGCCCUGUCUCUAUUGCUUGGUAGGAAAAAACAGCCAAUUAGUAACCCACAGAUGUUGACAUACGCAUUAACUGCUGUUAAAAAUUCGCAAAUUUGGUAAAUUUGUAUGUUGGGUUCAAUUACUUUAUUGAAAUUAAAAAAAAAAAAUUUUAAAUUGCUUUUAAUUGAUUAAAUUAGUUGUUAAUUUUCAAAACAUGUCUUGUAUACUUGGUUCGGGAAAUGACAUGGAAUAAAGAAUAGUGUGUCAGGCAGAAACAGAAUAGUUGUUUUAUGUUUUAUAUGUAUUUCUAUAUUUAAAUCUUACAUUAAAUUGAGUGCGAAAUGGCAUUCUGGAGAUUGCUUAGUGAAAUAAUAAAUAUUCCUUUUCUACUUUAUUUUAUUCUAUGAUUAAUAUUUGGGAUAAGUGGGGUGAGCAUAUUUUGUUGCAUGUGAUUAUUUUGUUCCACUGUUGUCCGGAACUUGAUAUAGCUUCAAAAUUCAUCAACUUUAAUAAUGUUGUGAAAUAAUUACUGUGUUUUAAUAUUGUUUAUUGAAAUUAAUUUUGUGAUUUUUUUAAAAAUUUAUUAUUUAUAGAAUACUAAAAGUUAAUUUAAAUUAAAUUUUAUCUGUUUAUUAUAAAAACAAUAAAAUAAUUAAGCUGAGUAUAAACCGUGAAAGGGCACUUAAUAAGCAAUGACAUCUAAAUAUGUGGGGCAUAAAAUAAUACGACAAUUAAUUUUUCACUAAUGCUAUGAAAUUUAUUUAUAAAUUCAUAAUUCGUAC